AUGUCCACGGUUCUGGACGCCGACCCUAGGAUUUGGUUACUGGGGGAUGUAACCUUACUGAAGGUGAGCUCAAAUAUGAAGCAUUUUGUGUUACUAGCAGCAACGGCUGCCAAGAAUUGUAUCCUGAAAGAUUGGAAGAAUGUCACCCCCCCCAGCCAAAAAUAUUGGGCUAAUGAACUCCUGUCGUACUGCACACCAGAAAAAAUUCUACAUUCUAUUCGAGGAAAACUAGAUGACUUUGAACUGAUUUGGACUCCUUUUCUGAACAUUCUGACCCAACUUGACAUGACCACAGACUAGAUGUAAAUCUAUGUUUAUUACUGUUUAUCUUUAUCUUUAUGAUUAUUGAAUAUUUCGCUUUGUGGAGAAAGGUUUUUUUUUAUUUAUUUAUUUAUUUAUUUUUUAUUUUUUAUUUUUUUUUAUUUAUUUAUUUUUUCUGUUUUUGUGUUUUGUAAAAAAAAUAAUAAUAAUAAAUUUAAACCUAUAAAUAAAAGCGUAAAAAAAAAAAUCCUAAUUUUUGACAUAUAGGGAUAAAUAAAAAAAUUUAAAAAAAAAAAAAAUUGUAAGAAAUUGUAAGAAAAAAUUGUAUAUACUGUAUGUAUAUAGAUGCUUAUACAUGUAUACUGUUUAUGCCUAAUUUCUGAUGGGUAGAUGUUGUUUUUGUUUUGUAAAUAGGGUAGGCGAAACAAGUCUCGGCUUCAGCCUACACCUUUUCGGUUACCUCCUUUGUUUGUAUUGAAUUGGUUGUAUAUAUAAUUUGUCUUAUGUUUUAUGUUUUGUAACAGAAGAAAAAAAAAAAAAAAAAAAAAAAUGAAGGGGAAUUAAAAGAAAGGGACUCUAGAUAGGGGUGUAAAUCGGAUGGUUCGUCACGAUACGAUAUGAUAUCGAUUCUCAUACCCAGCGAUACGAUAUUUUCCGAUACCUCAAAAAAUUCUACGAUACGAUUACGAUUCGAUUCGAUACAGGAGUGUAUCGAUCGAUAUAUCGAUAUUUAACUUUCUAUUUUAAACAACCAUCUACAUUUUUAUUAACUCACAAAUGCAACCAAAAUAUAUAACAAGAACAUUUAUCUAAAAAAAAUUACAUUCUGUACCUCAGUUGGGACAUUCACAACAAAAAAAUAGGCCUACACAUUUUUUUUAAUAAUAAAGAAAAUAAACAAUUGGAAAAACAAUUCUGGCUGCUACUAUGGGCUCAGUGCUAAAAACCUUUUCUACAGAUAACCAAAUUACAAGCAAUAGCAGAAAAUAACUACAAUACAGCAAAGACAAAAGUUCAAUAAACAGUGCUUUUCAGGUUUUUCAUCUCAGUCAAAAAUAAAUUUUCAGGUGCGCUACAGGAAUGUAAUAGGCUAAUCAAAUGUAAAAUAACUGCACAGUCUUCACUCUAUAAAUUGAAUAUAGAUUAAUCAUUUCUGAUGUUAUAACGGUUAUUUAGUCAGGAGCAGUGAGCACUUGUAUUUUUCUUUGACAGCAUUAGAUUUAUUAUUAGUUUGCUUUCACUUUAAGAACGAAGCACGGAUUUAAUAUACUGAUACACACGCCUUUUCUUUCUCAACUGUUUACGUUAAGACAUAUGCCUAACGACUGUGUUUACUAGGAUAAUCAUCAAAAUGCGCAUUUUGAUUUAAUUUUGUCUGUAUUUAUUCAUCCAUGCAUAAAAAAGCCGUAGAGAGAGCUCGAUUUAGUAUUCACGCGGUCUAGAUGCGGCUGUCUGUGUGCGCACAGCGCUCGACUGUUCCACCAACAACCCCGAGCGUCUUUUAUGCUUCACCUUGUGCCUUCGGGCAGUCUUUAUAUCACGUCCUGAUACGUGAGUUUGAGCGAGAAUGCACGCGUUGGCGGUAAUGCAUACUGACAUUAUUUGAAAAUGUGGACGGUGCCAAAUAAGGUGCCUAUUUAUAUUACAGAUAUCGAUAUUUUACGUGUGGCAUCGAUGCAUCGUAUCGUCAGACAUCGUAUCGAUGUAUCGAUCCAUAUCGAUGAAUCGUUACACCCCUAACUCUAGAUUUAAAUGAACCUGUGCUAUGAAAAUGUAGUGCUUAUUGUGAUUUUUGUUUGUGUUUUACAAGUAAUAAAAAUGAUAAUGGUGAAAUAGAGAAAUGAAAUUUGAAAAUAAUAUAUUUAGAUUAUUACAAUGUACUAGUUAAAGGCAUUUAUCUCACUUAUACUCAUUCUGCAAAUGUCCUCAUUUUGAAUUGAUUCAGAGUUUGUCAUUUGAUCUUGCUGAUGUCUUGACUCUCUUUCUCAAACAUCUCCUGUCAAAUCUUCAGCAGAAUCUCCAGUCCUUCCAGCCUUGUGACUCACUGAUGACUCACUAAAACAAAUUUUAGACUAUGUGAAAGCAUGCAGUGCCCUCUACUAAAUUUGCGGAGUUUUAAAUCAUUCAGUUCAUUAGAUGGAUCGAUUCUGUUAAUGGAUUUUAUUCAUCUUACAUUGUUUCUAU
ensembl:lncRNA